rnacentral:lncRNA from 10 species
CUGGCAUCCUACUUUCUUUACCAGUUCAGAAGGCCAUGGCCCCACAGCUUGGCACCACAGCUAGCAUGAAUUCCAGGGACUUGUCAGGCUUGCCAUCGUUUCAUACAAGCCUGGUGUUUGUGCUUGCCUUCCCCCUUGGCAGGUCUGAGAAUUUCCACCCUUGUCAAUCCAUCUUGUAUAGCCACAGAACAGACGGAGACCUGUGGUGUCUCUUUAGUGUGUGGGUGACGCUGGAAAACAUUCCUGGUACCAAACUGUGGUUUUCAAUAAUGCAAAUAGCAGCGACUUUGCAAAGUGGGUCUCAUGACCUUCCAGAGGCCUGGGCUAGUCAGCAGCCUGCCAAUGCAAACACAUGCUGUUCUGAAGCCUUCUUGAGGGCAUCCUCUGCCACGGAUGGAGCCUCCUCCACUGUCAUGUUUGGCCUUCUGAGGAGACAGACCAAAGCACUCUAGACCAAGGCACUCUGCAAAAUGCUUUUCCCAGAUGAUCACAUUUAGCACUCAAGCCAUGGCAUGAGUGUUUCCUGAAUGGAGGAUGAUUCCCACUUACGGAAUUGAUAAUUACAGAUUGAGGAGAGAUGGGAUAUGGCUAACACAUGCACAGGCUGCUGUGACUCUAUGUGGUCCCUGUGGUCCCUCUGUUGGCUGUCCAAGACUGGAGCAUCUUAGGAAAUGGCUCACCUGGAGUAACUGAUUGAGGUCCAGUCAGGCAUGUGAGGACACAGUGUUUGCCCCACUGGAGGACGAAGGAACAAGGCACCAUCUUGGAAUUGGAGACCAGAGCCCUCACAAGACACUGAGCCUGAUGUUACCUUUAUCUUGGACUUCACAGCCUCUAGAAUUGUACUUACAGAACCAUGGCUCUGAGCGAAGGAGUGGAAACAUGAGACUCGUAUAAAGAUCUCACCACCAUUAAGAAGUUUCUUUUGAGACGCUGGUAUCAGCCCACUGAUAAAAUGUCAUAAAAUAACUGCCAUCCCCACCUUUUAUAA